rnacentral:lncRNA from 1 species
UGUUUACUAGGUUUACAAAAGAUUAGUGGGAGUUAAUCAUGUUCCUAAAUUUGAAUAUAUAUAUAUAUAUACACAUAUAUGAUAUAUUAAUUUUGGAAAUGAAAAGAAUACUUCUUCGUUAAAGUUAUGACUUUAAACAUUCUAUAAAGAUAGAAUGGAUAUGGGAGACAUAGUCUAUAUACAUGGGAUGGAAAUCUACAAUGAUAGAUUUCAAGAUAUAAUUGGAUUAUAUCAAUCCCUAAUAAUGGACAAAAGAUGCUAGGAAGUUUCUCAUGUGAUGAUAAACUUCAAUCAGAAGAACAACUCUAGUGAGACUAGGAGGUAGCUCUUCUCAAAGGGAACGUACCCUUUGACUCCCAAAGAAAUAAUGCGUAAAUAGAAUCCUUUAUGCAUACGCAGAAAGGUGAUUUACAUAUUUCAUAUUGUAUGAAAAACGUUGAUAUGAGUUGUACCAAGAUCGGUACAAGAUGAUAUCAAUGUAAGCCCAGGAUCAGAACCAUGGCAACUGUCAAGUGA